AUUGAACGCUGGCGGCAGGCCUAACACAUGCAAGUCGAGCGGAUGAAGGGAGCUUGCUCCUGGAUUCAGCGGCGGACGGGUGAGUAAUGCCUAGGAAUCUGCCUGGUAGUGGGGGAUAACGUCCGGAAACGGGCGCUAAUACCGCAUACGUCCUGAGGGAGAAAGUGGGGGAUCUUCGGACCUCACGCUAUCAGAUGAGCCUAGGUCGGAUUAGCUAGUUGGUGGGGUAAAGGCCUACCAAGGCGACGAUCCGUAACUGGUCUGAGAGGAUGAUCAGUCACACUGGAACUGGGACACGGUCCAGACUCCUACGGGAGGCAGCAGUGGGGAAUAUUGGACAGUGGGCGGAAGCAUGGUCCAGCCAUGCCGCGUGUGUGAAGAAGGUCUUCGGAUUGUAAAGCACUUUAAGUUGGGAGGAAGGGCAGUAAGUUAAUACCUUGCUGUUUUGACGUUACCAACAGAAUAAGCACCGGCUAACUUCGUG
rnacentral:rRNA from 1 species